CUAUGGCCGAGACGGAAACCAGAUUGCAUCAUCAUAUCGAGAGUUUUCCCAGCAGUUCCCGAAACCUGGGUGGGUGGAACAUGACCCUCUUGAGAUAUGGAAUAGCGUGGUCGCGUGUAUCAAGGACGUCGUUUCCACAGCAGCGGACUGCUCGGUCGCCUGCGUAGGAAUCACGAACCAGCGGGAAACGACUAUGG
rnacentral:rRNA from 1 species